GGCCGGUUAGCUCAGCUGGUUAGAGCGUGGUGCUAAUAACGCCAAGGUGGCCGGUUCGAGCCCCGUAUUGGCCA
rfam:Danio rerio chromosome 3, GRCz11 reference primary assembly.